GCCUACGGGGCGCAGCAGUAAGGAAUAUUGGUCGAUGGAGGCAACUCUGAACCAGCCAUGCCGCGUGAAGGAUGAAGGCCCUAUGGGUUGUAAACUUCUUUUAUACGGGAAGAAACCUCCGCACGUGUGCGGAGCUGACGGUACUGUAAGAAUAAGGAUCGGCUAACUCCGUGCCAGCAGCCGCGGUAAUACGGAGGAUCCAAGCGUUAUCCGGAUUUAUUGGGUUUAAAGGGUGCGUAGGCGGAAUAGUAAGUCAGUGGUGAAAGCCUGUCGCUUAACGACAGAACUGCCAUUGAUACUGCUAAUCUUGAGUAUAAUUGAAGUGGGCGGAAUGUGUCGUGUAGCGGUGAAAUGCUUAGAUAUGACACAGAACACCAAUUGCGAAGGCAGCUCACUAAACUAUAACUGACGCUGAGGCACGAAAGCGUGGGGAUCAAACAGGAUUAGAAACCCUUGUAGUCCG
rnacentral:rRNA from 1 species